AGUGAACGCUGGCGGUAGGCCUAACACAUGCAAGUCGAACGGCAGCACAGUAAGAGCUUGCUCUUACGGGUGGCGAGUGGCGUACGUGUGAGGAAUACAUCGGAAUCUACUUUUUCGUGGGGGAUCACGUAGGGAAACUUACGCUAAUACCGCAUACGACCUUCGUGUGAAAGCAGGGGAUCUUCGGACCUUGCGCGAUUGAAUGAGCCGAUGUCGGAUUAGAUAGUUGGCGGGGUAAAGGCCCACCAAGGCGACGAUCCGUAGAUGGUCUGAGAGGAUGAUCAGCAAGAAUGGAACUGAGACACGGUCCAGACUCCUACGGGAGGCAGCAGUGGGGAAUAUUGGACAAUGGGCGCAAGCAUGAUCCAGCCAUACCGCGUGGGUGAAGAAGGCCUUCGGGUUGUAAAGCCCUUUUGUUGGGAAAGAAAAGCAGCAGGUUAAUACCCCGCUGUUAUGACGGUACCCAAAGAAUAAGCACCGGCUAACUUCGUG
rnacentral:rRNA from 1 species